rnacentral:rRNA from 1 species
CUCAGGAUGAACGCUAGCUACAGGCUUAACACAUGCAAGUCGAGGGGCAGCAUUGGGAUAGCUUGCUAUUCAGAUGGCGACCGGCGCACGGGUGAGUAACGCGUAUCCAACCUUCCUGCCAGUAGGGAACAGCCCGGCGAAAGUCGGAUUAAUGCCCUAUGUUCUUCAAUGCGGACAUCUAAGUUGAAGGAAAGAUUCAUCGCUGGCAGAUGGGGAUGCGUCCGAUUAGCUUGCCGGCGGGGUAACGGCCCACCGGGGCGACGAUCGGUAGGGGUUCUGAGAGGAAGGUCCCCCACACUGGUACUGAGACACGGACCAGACUCCUACGGGAGGCAGCAGUGAGGAAUAUUGGUCAAUGGGCGUAAGCCUGAACCAGCCAAGUAGCGUGCAAGGAUGACGGCCCUACGGGUUGUAAACUGCUUUUAUGCGGGGAUAAAGUGCGGCACGUGUGCCGCUUUGCAGGUACCGCAUGAAUAAGGACCGGCUAAUUCCGUGCCAGCCGCAGC